rnacentral:rRNA from 1 species
UCAAGCGUCAAAAGGGCGUUCGGGGAAUGCCUUGGCUGUAAGAGGCGAUGAAAGACGUGGCACGCUGCGAUAAGCUUCGGCGAGGUGCGAGCAACCUUAGACCCGGAGAUUUCUGAAUGGGGCAACCC